rnacentral:rRNA from 1 species
UACCUGGUUGAUCCUGCCAGUAGUCAUAUGCUUGUCUCAAAGAUUAAGCCAUGCAUGUCUCAGUAUCAGGAUUAUCACCGCUAAACUGCGAAUGGCUCAUUAAAACAGUUAUAGUUUACUUGGUGAUCGCUAGUUAUACGGAUUAUAGCUGUGCUAAUUGAAGAGCUAAUACCUGCAUUCAGACCUGACUUCUAGGAAAGGUUGUAUUUAUUACAUACACAACCAAUUCCCUUCACGGGGAUUUCGGAUGAUUCAUGAUAAACAAACGGAGCGUGAGGCAUGAGCCGACGCUGUACCAUUCAAGUUUCUGACCUAUCAGAUUCCGACGGAAGGGUAUUGGCCUACCGUGGCUUUGACGGGAAACGGAGAAUUAGGGUUCGAUUCCGGAGAGGGAGCCCGAGAAACGGCUACCACAUCUAAGGAAGGCAGCAGGCGCGCAAAUUACCCGAUCCUGACACGGGGAGGUAGUGACAAGAAAUAACAAAGCAAGUCUCUUUGAGGCGCUGCGUUGGAAUGAGUAAAAUUUAUAUCUCUGUACGAUCAUCAAUUGAAGGGGAAGUCUGGUGCCACCAGCCCUCGGAAAUUCCAGCUCCAAUAGC